GGGAAUAUUGCACAAUGGGGGAAACCCUGAUGCAGCGACGCCGCGUGAGGGAAGAAGGUUUUCGGAUUGUAAACCUCUGUCCUUGGUGACGAAAGAAGACGGUAGCCAAGGAGGAAGCCACGGCUAACUACGUGCCAGCCGCCGCGGUAAUACGUAGGUGGCAAGCGUUGUCCGGAAUUACUGGGUGUAAAGGGAGCGUAGGCGGGAGGAUAAGUUGGACGUAUAAACUAUCGGCUCAACCGGUAGAGGCGUUCAAAACUGUCCUUCUUGAGUGAAGUAGAGGUAAGCGGAAUUCCUAGUGUAGCGGUGAAAUGCGUAAAUAUUAGGAGGAACACCAGUGGCGAAGGCGGCUUACUGGGCUUUAACUGACGCUGAGGCUCGAAAGCGUGGGUAGCAAACAG
rnacentral:rRNA from 1 species